rnacentral:rRNA from 1 species
CCUACGGGUGGCUGCAGUCGAGAAUCAUUCACAAUGGGGGAAACCCUGAUGGUGCGACGCCGCGUGGGGGAAUGAAGGUCUUCGGAUUGUAAACCCCUGUCAUGUGGGAGCAAAUUAAAAAGAUAGUACCACAAGAGGAAGAGACGGCUAACUCUGUGCCAGCAGCCGCGGUAAUACAGAGGUCACAAGCGUUGUUCGGAAUCACUGGGCGUAAAGCGUGCGUAGGCGGUUUCGUAAGUCGUGUGUGAAAGGCGGGGGCUCAACCAGCGGAUUGCACAUGAUACUGUGAGACUAGAGUAAUUGUGGGGGAGCCGGAAUGCGUGGUGUAGCAGUGAAAUGCGUAGAUAUCGAGCGGAACACUCGUGGCGAAGGCGGGUGCCUGGACAAUAACUGACGCUGAGGCACGAAGGCCAGGGGAGCGAAAGGGAUUAGAUACCCCUGUAGUC